CCCCGCCUGGGGAGUACGGGUGAGGUAACGGCUCACCAAGGCAUCGACGGGUAGCUGGUCUGAGAGGACGAUCAGCCACACUGGGACUGAGACACGGCCCAGACUCCUACGGGAGGCAGCAGUAGGGAAUCUUGCGCAAUGGGCGAAAGCCUGACGCAGCAACGCCGCGUGGGGGAUGAAUGCCUUCGGGUUGUAAACCCCUUUCAGCAGGGACGAAAAUGACGGUACCUGCAGAAGAAGCUCCGGCCAACUACGUGCCAGCAGCCGCGGUAAUACGUAGGGAGCGAGCGUUGUCCGGAAUUAUUGGGCGUAAAGAGCUCGUAGGCGGUUCGGUAAGUCGGGUGUGAAAACUCAGGGCUCAACCUUGAGACGCCACUCGAUACUGCCAUGACUUGAGUCCGGUAGAGGAGUGUGGAAUUCCUGGUGUAGCGGUGAAAUGCGCAGAUAUCAGGAGGAACACCAGCGGCGAAGGCGGCACUCUGGGCCGGUACUGACGCUGAGGAGCGAAAGCAUGGGGAGCAAACAGGAUUAGAUACCCUGGUAGUCCAUGCCGUAAACGUUGGGCACUAGGUAUGGGAUCAUAUCAACGGAUUCCGUGCCGUAGCUAACGCAUUAAGUGCCCCGCCUGGGGAGUACGG
rnacentral:rRNA from 1 species